CCGACUUUAGCUCAGUUGGAAGAGCAUCAGACUGUAAUUGGAUAACGUAAUCUCAUCUGGGUGUCGCCUGUUCGAACCAGGCAAGUCGGA